GUUGAGGGUCUUGACUAUUACAUUGCAGAGGGUGGAAAGGCAUUUCAAGAUCUUGAAACCAUUAUAGAAAAACUCUGCAUAUCCAGUGAAAAGAAGAAAGAACUGAAAUCCAAAUUGCUAAAUGGGAAGCGAUAUAUCAAAUCAGAUUUCAAGGUAUUUGAAAACAUAUUGAUAGUCUAAAUCAUGUUAUAGGAAACAUUAUAAUUAAACAAAUUGAAUGUGACAUUGUUAGCUUGUCAAUGAGUGAACUACAGCUUGAGCUAGCUGUAAUUGUCACCACACACGCUAUAUAUAUAUUGAUACCAUAAGGC
rnacentral:lncRNA from 1 species